rnacentral:rRNA from 1 species
AAUCAAGUGCCUUAAGGGUGUUCGGUGGAUGCCUUGGCGCUGAGAGGCGAUGAAGGACGUGCUACGCUGCGAUAAGCCGUGGGGAGCUGCGAAGAAGCUUUGAUCCAUGGAUUUCCGAAUGGGGAAACCCACCUUUGAUAGCCGGAACUCCAAGACCUUGGUCUGGGGGUGGUGAGAGAUAAUCAAACGAUCCUUGACCGUGAGGUUUUGGAUAUCCGGUUAUCAAGAGAGAGGUAUGAGAUUCUGAAACACAGGAGAAGGUAUGAGACUUCUGAAUACAUAGGAGGUUUCAAGCAAACCCAGGGAACUGAAACAUCUAAGUACC